rnacentral:rRNA from 1 species
UACGUAGGGUGCAAGCGUUGUCCAGAAUUAUUGGGCGUAAAGAGCUCGUAGGCGGUCUGUCGCGUCUGCUGUGAAAACUCGGGGCUUAACCCCGGGCCUGCAGUGGGUACGGGCAGACUAGAGUGCGGUAGGGGAGACUGGAAUUCCUGGUGUAGCGGUGAAAUGCGCAGAUAUCAGGAGGAACACCGGUGGCGAAGGCGGGUCUCUGGGCCGUAACUGACGCUGAGGAGCGAAAGCAUGGGGAGCGAACAGG